GAGAGAGACCUGUGCUCUUACUGCCGUAAGCCCAUGAGUUCCGACCCCAAGAUGGUGCUGGAGGAUAUGAAGAUCAACUGCCACACUACCUGCUUUAAGUGUGAGGUGUGUAGCAGUGACCUGGGCCAUCUCAAGGCAGGGGACAGUAUGUGGGUCUACAGACGCACCGUGCACUGUGAGCGCUGCUUCGAAGUCACCAGAGAAAAAUGGCAUCGUUGAUCCUCAAGUUCACGCGGAUGAAGACGGGGUCUUUAUUCUAUGGCCGUUUAAAUAGAUUGAAGUUUUGAAUUACAUUUAGGUGACAUGGGUCCUCCUUAUAUAGGUACGGAAAUGUAUGGAGGUUGAAAAAUAGCAUCUUUUUCAGAAUUAGGUAUGAAUUCUUGUGUUUAUAAAAUGGAGAGGAUAUUAAUCUUUUACAUAAAAACUACACUGACAGUUAAUGUUUUCAUACAUGAAUAUACUAUAUGGGAUAUGUAAGCAUGUUUUUUUUUUUAAUCUCUUUUUACUUUUAGUAACCAAUAAUUAAUUGACUCUGUCUCUGAAUCAUGAUAGGUUAAACAUCCACAGUAAAUGCAUGUAAGCCAAUUUUUUUUGACCUGUCUCAGCCAGCUGUUUGUCUCCAUAAUCAACAUAUUUCACAGGCAUUCAGGCUACCAAAAUAGGCUUACGGUGAGAUAUCCAAAUGGUGCAAUAAUUAGGGCCGGGGGUUGGUUGUGUGUGCAAUACAAAAA